rnacentral:rRNA from 1 species
UACGUAGGGUGCGAGCGUUGUCCGGAAUUACUGGGCGUAAAGAGCUCGUAGGUGGUUUGUCGCGUUGUUCGUGAAAACCGGGGGCUUAACCCUCGGCGUGCGGGCGAUACGGGCAGACUGGAGUACUGCAGGGGAGACUGGAAUUCCUGGUGUAGCGGUGGAAUGCGCAGAUAUCGGGAGGAACACCGGUGGCGAAGGCGGGUCUCUGGGCAGUAACUGACGCUGAGGAGCGAAAGCGUGGGGAGCGAACAGG